AUUGAACGCUGGCGGCAGGCCUAACACAUGCAAGUCGAGCGGAUGAAGGGAGCUUGCUCCUGGAUUCAGCGGCGGACGGGUGAGUAAUGCCUAGGAAUCUGCCUGGUAGUGGGGGAUAACGUCCGGAAACGGGCGCUAAUACCGCAUACGUCCUGAGGAGAAAGUGGGGGAUCUUCGGACCUCACGCUAUCAGAUGAGCCUAGGUCGGAUUAGCUAGUUGGUGGGGUAAAGGCCUACCAAGGCGACGAUCCGUAACUGGUCUGAGAGGAUGAUCAGUCACACUGGAACUGAGACACGGUCCAGACUCCUACGGGAGGCAGCAGUGGGGAAUAUUGGACAAUGGGCGAAGGCCUGAUCCAGCCAUGCCGCGUGUGUGAAGAAGGUCUUCGGAUUGUAAAGCACUUUAAGUUGGGAGGAAGGGCAGUAAGUUAAUACCUUGCUGUUUUGACGUUACCAACAGAAUAAGCACCGGCUAACUUCGUG
rnacentral:rRNA from 1 species